CCUGUCCCUAGAGGCAUUGCAGGUGUGGCCGCUGUGUCCCGCAUGCAUCAGUAGGUGACAGAGAGGAGAGAAGCCCUGUAGGAGCAGGGGUCUGUUACC
ensembl:snoRNA Gm24013 predicted gene, 24013